rnacentral:rRNA from 1 species
UGAGCAAUCUGCCCUUCUCUUCGGAAUAAGCGUUGGAAACGACGUCUAAUGCCGAAUACGACCUCCUUUCGCAUGAUCGGAGGUGGAAAGCUCCGGCGGAGAAGGAUGAGCUCGCGGCCUAUCAGCUAGUUGGUGAGGUAACGGCUCACCAAGGCAACGACGGGUAGCUGGUCUGAGAGGAUGGCCAGCCACAUUGGGACUGAGACACGGCCCAGACCUCUACGGGA